AGCAAGAGCUGUUGGAACUGGAUGGACGCCUUGAUGAUGAUUCCUUUCAUGAAUUACUCAUUUGCAAGUCAAAAGCCUCUCCUGUGUGGGUAGAACGAAUGCAAAGGAUUGUGCGAAAAAGAAUCAUGCGGCGACUCCUGACCAUCAAGGUUGCUCGGAACUAUAACUGGAAAGGACAAAAGGGAGAGAUGUGUGCUUUCAAGGGACUGAAGGUGCAGGCCAUGAUCUACAAAGCUGUACGGAAGAACCGUGGGUGUAUGGAGGCUUCCGAUAAAGUUAGUGCAGGAGC